GGAGCUCGUUUAGGCGGCGCUCUGAAUCCCCUCUCCUCGCGCACCAGGAAACAAAGAGAGCUUGGAAGCACGCCUUGAAUUAACCAGAGAUGCCCUGGAGGAUGAACGGCAAGGCUGAGAAUCACUGAAUUGAGAAGCUGAGAAGCAGUAGGGAGCUGUUUUCUGGACACUGCAGCAGGUUCAUUAAGAAGACAUACUGUAUUAGGAUUCAAAGAAACAACCAGCUCCCAUUCUCCCCUUCUCUGUUUUAUAUUUACCAAAAGAAAACAAAAACUACAAAUAAUGAAGUAAAAUACAGAAUUCCCUUCAUGAGGAAAACAACUUCCCUCAUGGCCCCAAAAUAGCUUAAAAAUAAAUCUUCUAUUGAAUCUCUUACUACACUGCAUUAGACCACCUUUAAUGACUGUAACUAGCUUUUAAUAUCUAGUGUGUAAAUGGCAAUCUGUUUUUGACCAAGAAUAAAUUAUAGCAGAAUAUUAGGGAGGCUCUUGCUUCACUCCAAAAAAAACUCUCAAAAAACAAAAAGACAAAAUAAAAAAAACUAGUAUUUGUUUUAGAUGAGAGACUUCUCAAUAUGUUCUGAAAGAGAAAAACCUCGUUUAGGGAGAAAUAUUUCUCUUAAGCAGUCUCAAACCAGAUUAAUGGAUUAAAACUGCACACUUGAAUAAUUUGACUAAAUUUAAAAUCUCUACGCGGCUCUCUUCCACUUAUUUUUUGUCCUUCCAUACUAAUCUUUAAUGUGUUGCUCUGAUACGGUUUUCAUAUUUCCAAACUGAGCUAAAAUGGAAAUGACAGAUUUUCAGUUACAUAAAAAUAGCAAUGAAGUGCCAGGAAAAAUACAUUGUGAACAAAAUAAUCUUUAGAAAAGAUAUGAAAGGAGAAUAUUUUUUAUAGCAUGUUAUGGAUCCAAUAAUAGAAGCAUAUUCGGGGCAAUUAUAUCAAUUUUUAAAAUUUAAAAACUGUUUAAAAAUUAAGGUACUAAAUGCUAAGCUAUAAUGUGUUUCCAGCCUUAGUAUACUUGCAUUAGAAUUAAGUAGUAAUCAAUAUAGAGUAUUUAUUGCUAUAAACCACAGCACCAGAGGAAGCAAAGGAUGGUAUGUUUAGAACUCAAAAUUCUCUCCUAUCCUUUAGGAAGAGGGGGAAAAGAGGAUUUCCCCGUCUUGAUCUUUAAUCAGUUACCACAGUGUACUGUAUUCCCAACUACUGCUUUCCUUUACCAAAAGAGUAUAGCAAUGAAAAUACAUUAUGAAAGCAAUAAUUUUCCAGUAAAGUUUAAGACGGUAAGAGAAACUUUUAUUUUAGAAAACAAAUAAUAACAGGUACACAAUAUGACUAUGUUUUUAAGUUGAUGGAAUUGAUUAAUGGCUCAAAAUAAUCAAGGAAUCACAUCACAGAGCACUAUUUUAAAGAGAAGUGCUAAAAAUUAACUCUAUACCAUCAUACCAUAAUGACAUUAUCAAAUACGUUACUGAAAUUAUAUACAGCAUAACAUUACAGAUGAUAAUUGCUAGGCUAAAUAAUGGAAUCUUCCAUGAUGCUGUAUGAUAACAAAUAUAUUUAAUAAUCUUAAAUAAACUCAAACUUACUCUGAUACCCAUACUUCUAAGUAAUUCAAGACAUGAGAAAUGAAUUUUUAAAAAAUCAGAUCAUGAAAGCCAUUAUUAUUUGAAGGAAUAUGCUCAAUUUUUUUAGAUAAUUUAAAUUAUUUAAGAGUGCUUUGCAUUUUUUAUUAGCUUUGCCUCAAGUUAUAACAUUAAAGCAUUAAGGUUACACGUAAUGAGGUCCUGGUUUGCCCUUAUUUCUAAGUCCCGUAUUUUCACAAACUACAAACAGAGAUUAGUGCUAAAUUACAAGGCUAAUUCGAUCAAAUAAAAUUGUCUCAUUCUUAGAUAUGCAUCUGAAGAAAAUGUUUAACUACAAAGUGUGUAUUCACAUGCAGACUAUCACAGAUAGCCAUCUGGAAGAAACAGUUCAUAGAGGGAGCAGAUAGUGGUCGAAGGGAGCCUGUACAUUUUCCUUAAGGUGUCUGUUAAAAAAAAAUUCUCUGCUAAGUCCAACCAACUACAAACAACACUUACCUAAAGCCUAUUACUCAGAUGGAUGGUUUUAAAAUAUCAAUGGUUUAUUUUGAAAAUUUACGGACAGAAGUAACAUCUCUGCUAUUGAAAUCUCCAUUAACAGAUAGUGACCACAGCUUGGAAACCAAUGGCUUGAUUCAAAAAUGUAUUCAGGAUUAUAGAGGAAUUUAAUCCCAAACUCCUCUAGGAUGUCUGACAUUAAUUCUCAUUAGAAAAUAACAAAAC